rnacentral:rRNA from 1 species
GCCGCCCGCUUUCUUCUUUCUUAACACAUGCAAGUCGAACGAUGAAGCCCAGCUUGCUGGGUGGAUUAGUGGCGAACGGGUGAGUAACACGUGAGUAACCUGCCCUUAACUCUGGGAUAAGCCUGGGAAACUGGGUCUAAUACCGGAUAGGAGCGUCCACCGCAUGGUGGGUGUUGGAAAGAUUUAUCGGUUUUGGAUGGACUCGCGGCCUAUCAGCUUGUUGGUGAGGUAAUGGCUCACCAAGGCGACGACGGGUAGCCGGCCUGAGAGGGUGACCGGCCACACUGGGACUGAGACACGGCCCAGACUCCUACGGGAGGCAGCAGUGGGGAAUAUUGCACAAUGGGCGCAAGCCUGAUGCAGCGACGCCGCGUGAGGGAUGACGGCCUUCGGGUUGUAAACCUCUUUCAGUAGGGAAGAAGCGAAAGUGACGGUACCUGCAGAAGAAGCACCGGCUAACUACGUG